UACGUAGGGGGCAAGCGUUGUCCGGAGUUACUGGGCGUAAAGCGCACGCAGGCGGUCUCUUAAGUUUGGAGUGACAGUUGGUGGCUUAACUGCCAAAGUGCUUCGAAAACUGAGAGACUUGAGGGCUUCAGAGGGACACGGAAUUCCGGGUGGAGUGGUGAAAUGCGUAGAGAUCCGGAGGAACACCAAAGGCGAAGGCAGUGUCCUGGGGAGUACCUGACGCUCAGGUGCGGAAAGCCAGGGAGCGAACGGG
rnacentral:rRNA from 1 species